rnacentral:lncRNA from 1 species
CAAGGCUGUUCAAUCUUUGCACCCAGAGGUUGCAGUAAGUCUGGAUACCACAUCAAACUGUUUGUGGUACUUCUAAACUUCGUGGAAGAGCCCUGUUUCAUAAAUCUGAGACAGCCUUGGUCUGAGGGAGCAAAGACAGAGAAUUCACGUGCUGCCCAGGCAUAGCCACAUAGCAGGUGGACAUCCCUGGACACUUUUCUGAGAUUUUACGUCAUAGACCCUCACUGGAUUUUCCUGGAAGUACGGAGAGUUACAUCCAGAGAACUCUGAACAUUUUGGAAGGACCCCAAUCCUGCAAACAAUGAAUGGCAAUAAAUCCUGGGACUGGAAAGGGGCUUCUCAACCCCAAGGCAACCAUAAAGUCCUAUACAAAGAAAGAUACAGCAGUGUGAAAGAGGCCUGGAUGAAAAAACAAAGACAGAGCCAGUGAGCCAGAGCCAGAGCCAGAGGACAAGAGAGAAAGGCAGAGAAUGGAAAACACAGACAGAGAAGGCAGAUGCAUAGAGAGACAGAGAUUCAAUGAGAAAAUAAGGAAGGAAGAAAGAAAACAAAAACAUUCUCAGCACUACAACUUCUGCCUUGUUCUGUUCCAGAACAGUAUGAGCUCAGUACUUUUUCAGACUCUCAAUUUUCUACAACUAAUAAUUUGCUCUUUCAGUUAGUGGCAAAGGCUUAACGACAAAGGUUCAUCUUUAAUAUUAAAGAGGCACUUUUAAAAUUUAUGAUGCUAAGCCUUUUGUUCUGGAUAUGGUAUGUUGCACAGGUCUAGGGACUGGGAUUUCAGAUGUCUAUUCCGUACCCUUAUUCUUUUAUUUAUUAAAUCUUUUAGGGUGUAUUUUUUUCUAUUUUCUCUUCUUUUAUUAGUAUGUAUUUCUUGAGUCAUUAACAUACAACAUAUAUAGGACUUCCUCUGAGGAUACAAUAAUGUAUAUGAUGGACAAGAUACGUAAAAGUGCCUUGAAGAGACUUGGUCUUGUGAGGGGACAGACAGGAAACAGGCAGUUAUCACCUAACUUAAGUCUGUUGUUUCAAGGUAAAAUAAGAAUAAUAACAUCUGUGUUGGCUGGGAUGUUGUGAGUGUUUGUGGAGAUAAUAGUACAAAUGAAAUUACUGAGGGACAAUGGUGAAGAUAGGGCCAUAUCAUGGAGCUUACACUAGUGAUGGAAGGAGAUGGGAGAUACAAAAGCAAGACAAUAUUUCAGAUUUCAUAAAUGAAUGGCAAGCAUAGAGCAGUGAGGCAGAGAAUGACUGGAGAAAGAGACUAUGCUAAACUGGAUAGUAAAGGAAGAGCAGGACCCCACUAAACUAUAUGGAGUUUUGUGCAAAUCACAUGAACACAAGUAGAACAUUUUAGGCUGCUCAUGUGACUUUGGAUUUGUCCUAAGGGCAAUAGUAAGCCUUUGGACUGCUUUAGCAUGAUAGGAUUUUAAAAGAUCACUGGCUGCUGUGUGAACAAAAAUAAUGUUGUAAAGAAAAGGAUAUUAGCUGUAUCAGAUCAGCUGGAGACUACUGAAAUAACCCAAGCUGGCUUGGACUACAUAGGAGUAGUGUAAACUCAUUCAUUCAUGCAAGAAAUACUUAUUGAGUGCCUACUCAGUACCAGACCCUUUUCUAGGACAUGGAGUUAUAGCAGUGAACAAUAUAGAAAAAAAUCCCCGAAUUCAUGGAGACUCCAGUGAGCAGAGACAAAAAAAUAGCAACUAAAUAAGUUAAAAGGAAUUGAGUACCCUAUAAAAGUUUAUCAGGGAAAUAUUAUAAGGAAUGACUUUCGGAGUAAUGGGUAGUGAUCUUAAAUGUAUGGUCAAUGAAAAUCAGAAGUUGUAGAGAAGUGGAUAAAUUCACAGUACGUUUUAAAGUAGACCUAAUAAGACUUAAUGAAUUUGAUGUGGCAAGUGAGAAAAAUACAUCAAGGAUGAUGACUUUUAUAAUUUGACUUGAGUAUCUGGGAACAAACAAGUACAGUGCCAUAAUAAGGGCAGAAAAUUUUCCAUUCACCCAGCAACUUAUGAACUCAUUUGCUUAGUCUUUAUCGCCUCUUGCAUUAUAUAGUUUUCACUUUGCUGGAGUACUUGUAUAGAAGAUCACCAGUGAAGAAGCCAGAGAUGGCUUAUUAGGUUAUCCCAAUAAUACAUCUUAUUGUUAAUUAACUCUCAAGGGUUUUUUUUCACAAUUUUAGAAGUUUUAAGCAAAUGAAUUGGCUAUGUGACCCUACUAUAAGGUGUUUAAAACACCAACAGCUUAAACUUCUUAGAUCAAAGGACAUCCUCCAGGCCAAAAUAUUUCCACUGGAACGGUUUCUUUGCU